rnacentral:rRNA from 1 species
AGCAUAUCAAUAAGCGGAGGAAAAGAAACCAACAGGGAUUGCCUCAGUAACGGCGAGUGAAGCGGCAACAGCUCAAAUUUGAAAUCUGGCCCUAGGCCCGAGUUGUAAUUUGCAGAGGAUGUUUCUGGCGAGGUGCCUUCCGAGUUCCCUGGAACGGGACGCCAUAGAGGGUGAGAGCCCCGUACGGUUGGUCGCUAAGCCUCUGUGAAACUCCUUCGACGAGUCGAGUAGUUUGGGAAUGCUGCUCUAAAUGGGAGGUAUACGUCUUCUAAAGCUAAAUACCGGCCAGAGACCGAUAGCGCACAAGUAGAGUGAUCGAAAGAUGAAAAGCACUUUGAAAAGAGGGUUAAAUAGUACGUGAAAUUGUUGAAAGGGAAGCGCUUAUGACCAGACUUGGACCGGUUGAUCAUCCAUCGUUCUCGGUGGUGCACUCUGCCGGUUCAGGCCAGCAUCAGUUUGCCCCGGGGGAUAAAGGCUUUGGGAAUGUGGCUCUUCGGAGUGUUAUAGCCCACUGCGUAAUACCCUGGGGUAGACUGAGGUUCGCGCUCCGCAAGGAUGCUGGCGUAAUGGUCAUCAGUGACCCGUCUUGAAACACGGACCAAGGAGUCGUCUUCGUAUGCGAGUGUUCGGGUGUCAAACCCCUACGCGUAAUGAAAGUGAACGUAGGAGAGAGCUUCGGCGCAUCUCCGACCGAUCCUGAUGUUCUCGGAUGGAUUUGAGUAAGAGCAUACGGGGCCGGACCCGAAAGAAGGUGAACUAUGCUUGUAUAGGGUGAAGCCAGAGGAAACUCUGGUGGAGGCUCGCAGCGGUUCUGACGUGCAAAUCGAUCGUCAAAUAUGAGCAUGGGGGGCGAAAGACUAAUCGAACCUUCUAGUAGCUGGUUUCCGCCGA